UGGGGAAUAUUGGACAAUGGGCGAAAGCCUGAUCCAGCAAUGCCGCGUGUGUGAAGAAGGCCUUCGGGUUGUAAAGCACUUUCAGUGGGGAGGAUAAUGACGUUACCCACAGAAGAAGCACCGGCUAACUCUGUGCCAGCAGCCGCGGUAAUACAGAGGGUGCAAGCGUUAAUCGGAAUUACUGGGCGUAAAGCGCGCGUAGGUGGUUUAGUAAGUUGGAUGUGAAAUCCCCGGGCUCAACCUGGGAAUUGCAUUCAAAACUGCUAGGCUAGAGUAUGGUAGAGGAAAGCGGAAUUCCAGGUGUAGCGGUGAAAUGCGUAGAUAUCUGGAGGAACAUCAGUGGCGAAGGCGGCUUUCUGGACUAAUACUGACACUGAGGUGCGAAAGCGUGGGGAGCAAACAGG
rnacentral:rRNA from 1 species